rnacentral:lncRNA from 1 species
CGCGUACGACUGCUGCCGCGUGCCGCCACCAGGUCUAUGGUCACUAGAGUUGGCUGAAUUAACAGCCUUCUUUUGCAACAAAGCCAACGACUAUAUCGACCAGUAACUUUCUUCGAUCUAGCCUCCAUCCAUGCCUUAUCUUUUAAUCCCUCUCUUCGACAAGAUACAUACAUACAAACGCACACAGCCGUAUCUAUGUUUUGUAUAUAGGCUGGCCAGACUCGUGACGACGUCAUGAUGUUUCCGAUGACCGUGACUUGAUUCCGACCAUCUCUUCCAAAACAUCAUAAUGACGCACCAUUGUCCACCGGCGCCACGCUGAUCGACUCGACCUUGUCGGCAAGCAUAUACUGAUUUCUGCUAUUCUAGAAACGUGAAUCUAGAAAUGUUGCGGUGAUUAAUGCUAGUCACCGGAGCUCAGAUCUGAAACAAAUCGUCGAUGAUGAUUAAUGUUAGUCACCGGAUCUCAGAUCUGUUGCUGAUUUUUGUAUUCGCUGGAGGUUUUGGUCUCCGGAAGGUGGGCAGAAAUAAUGGUUGGAUGUGGUGAAUUUCAUUUUUGAUGGUGUUUUUGAUUUUCCGAUGGUGAUUUUGUUUUGUAGUUGGUGGUUUUUCGGGUUUGGGGGUUGUAAUGGUGGUUUGUAGAUGGUGGUGGUGUGGUGAUUUUAAUUUUUAGACGUUGUUUUGGUUUCCUGGCGCUGAUUUAUUGUUUUCUGGUGGUGAUUUUUUAUUUUACGACGCUGAUUUUUCAUUUUUUGACGGUGAUUUUCAGAUUUGGGGGUGGUGGUGGUUUGUAAAUGGUGGUGGUGUGGUGAUUUUAAUUUUCUGGCGUUGAUUUUUGGUUUUCUGGCGGUAAUUUUUAGUUUUCCGGUGGUGAUUUUUAGUUUUCCGAUGGUGAAUUUAUGUUUGCCGGUGGUGAUUUUCUGGUGGUCGCCGGAGGUGGUGGUGGUCGCCGGAGGAGGUGGUGGUGGUCAGCAGUGGUUGAAGGUGAUAAGUAGUUGAAUUAAAAGAAGGUGAAAUAUUAAAAUAUUAAAUGAAUGAUGAGAGAUGAAUAUAAUGUAUUUAAAUGAGUGGUUGAGAUUAGAUCUCAUAUCUCACCAUAAGAUUGGUUCUCCCUGGAGCAUGACUCUNNNNNNNNNNNNNNNNNNNNNNNNNNNNNNNNNNNNNNNNNNNNNNNNNNNNNNNNNNNNNNNNNNNNNNNNNNNNNNNNNNNNNNNNNNNNNNNNNNNNNNNNNNNNNNNNNNNNNNNNNNNNNNNNNNNNNNNNNNNNNNNNNNNNNNNNNNNNNNNNNNNNNNNNNNNNNNNNNNNNNNNNNNNNNNNNNNNNNNNNNNNNNNNNNNNNNNNNNNNNNNNNNNNNNNNNNNNNNNNNNNNNNNNNNNNNNNNNNNNNNNNNNNNNNNNNNNNNNNNNNNNNNNNNNNNNNNNNNNNNNNNNNNNNNNNNNNNNNNNNNNNNNNNUAUAUAUAUAUAUAUAUAUAUAUAUAUAUAUAUAUAUAUAUAUAUAUAUAUAUAUAUAGGGGUGGAUACUGUGACAAACUUACAAACUUACAAAUUUUCUGCGUUUAACAGAUAUAUAAUUUGAGCUCAGCAUUUUUUUAACCUAUUUUGUUGAACAUCGACUAAAAUUGUGUUUAAGAAGUACAUAAACUAAUUUUUGAAUGUAAGAACUAAGGCUGUGUUCACUUCAUGGAAUGGAAUGAGGGGAGAAUGGAAUGAAAAAUUAUAUAAUAGUUUUAAGGAGAAAGAAGAAAGUAUGAGAUAAUGAUGACAAAAUAUGAAUGUAGUUAAUUUGUUUGUGAGAAAGAUUGUGAAGAAACAUGAUGUUGAAAUGGAAUGAGCAUCCUUUCCAAAACAUGUGGGUUAGAGUUAUAGUUAAAAUACUAAGAGCAAGUCCAACAAUGUCCUAGCAAAUGCCCUAUAAAUAUAAUAAAAUAAUGUGUCCUAGUGAUUUAGGACAUCAUCUUCAUAUAUCAACUCCAACAACAUGCCUCAUUAUUGUGCCUUAUUAUUAAAAUAUUAAUAUAUUUAAAUUGUUAUUGGAGGGAAAUGAAAAGGAGAGAAGAGAGAGAUGUAGUGGAAUGGUAGGAAACUAUUUUUUUAUUGAAUAGGGCAUGCAUAUUGGUGCCUCAAAAAUAAGGCAAUUGUUACAUGUCCUAGUGUUUUAAGGCACCACUAGGACAUUGUUGGAGCAUUGAUUUGCUUCACAUGCCUUAUAUUUUGAUUUAGGACAUUAAUAUAGGGCACUCUUGGACUUGCUCUAAGGUUGGAAUGAUUGAAAGAAUGAAAGUUAUAUACAUUUUCAUUGAUCAACACCAUUUUAGAGUACAAAAUUCAUUUCAUUCUCCCUCCAUUCCAUUCACUCCAAGUGAACACAAUCUAAGUUAAACGUACUAGAGCAUCUCCAAGGGACUAAAACCAUUAGCUAAAUUAUCUACAUGACAUCUAGUUGGCAUCAAGUUGGCAUCUAAUGUCACUAUUUAGAUAUCUUGUAAAAAGUUAAGCACUCCAACCAUUAACCCUUAGCAAAAAAAUAUAGAUAACUAAAAAUGGGGUUGAUACAUUUGUAAAACCUCUAAGAUAUUAUGUAUAAUUUUAAAUAAUAUAAUUAUACAUAACACAAUUGAAGUGGAUCUAGGAUCUUUUAGUUAUAAUUUUAGAUGAUUAUCCAUAUAUCAUAUUAUAGUUAAUAAUUAUACAUAACACCCGUGGAGAUGCUCUUGUAUAACUAAUAUUUAUGUUUUUAAACCUCAUCCAAACCAAGGAGGUAUAGUUUAAGUAUCUUUAUAGAUAUAUUUAACAUAAUAAUAAUUAGCAUUCUACAUCCAAUGUUGAACCCCAGUUACAAAUGUGUUGAAUGCGCGAUUUAUUUAUGCGUUAUUUUUAAAAAUUGUGAUAUUUUUUAAAAAAUUUUCAACAUGAAUACCUUCGAUAACUAAGGAUUAACACGAAGGAAGAAUAAAAAAAAAGUUUAUAAAUUUGUAACUUAAAAAAGUUUUUAUUUGAUCCUAUCCCUAUAUAUAUAUAUAGGCUCAUGAUCAAAUAAAAACCACUCUUAAAAUAAAAACUAGAAACCAAUACAAGUUAACGAUAUUAUCAAUACAAUUUAGUUAUAUUCUCUUUAGGAUUUAGUGAUCAGUGUUGCAAGAAUUAAUGAAAACUUGCAGAAACCGCCCAGAAUCUCCAUAUAUGUUCCAAAAACUGCUCAAAUUUUUCAGAUCUGUUCACGUUUUCGAUUCAGAUGGUGGUGACGACGGUGGAGAUGGUGGAGGUGGAGGUGAAGGUGGAGAUGGAGGAAGGAUGAUUGUAGCGAAGGUGUGGGCGAUUUGAAAUAAGGGGUUGGAGCGUUGCCGGAAUAGUGGCGGCUCCGCCGCAUUUUGAAGUUGAGCAGAGAUGGAGAAAGAAGUAUGAACGGGACCGAAGGAGGUUGAAGAAGCGACUAAGAUGGGUUGGUGAAGAUGGAGGUGGAGAUUGUGUUGUUAGAGAAAUAAUGGAGGUGGAGAUGAAGGGGCGGGCGGCAUAAAGGUGGUGGUGGGUAUGGAGGAGGUGACGACGGAGGUGGUGGCAGUGACGGAUGUGGAGGUGGGGUUGGUGAAGAUGGAGGUGGGGUUGGUGAAGAUGGAGGUGUUUAAGAAUUUAGUGGUAUUUGUUAUAGGAUUUAGUGAUAUUUCAGCUUGGUUUUUAGUUUCUAGAAUAAGAAGGUUUCUAUUGGAGUAACACUCUAUAUAUAUAUUUAUCUCUACUUGAAUUUUUUUAGCAUAUGGAUACGUCACUUAUCGAAACGAGACUGUUUAUGCUAAAUAUAUAGAGUAUAUUUGUAAUUAGGUCCCGGUCUUCAGCAUGAUACGUGUUAAGUGCCGUGCUCUCAGGAUUAUAACUUGCUAAAUAUAUUCAGUUGUUUUUAAACGCCAGAUAAUCAUUUUAACCAUCCAGUUUUUUUUAAAAAAUGUUAUAGUGUUAACACGUCCACACAACUUGGUUUAAAUGGAAUGGAGCGAGAAUGAAAUGAAUUUUAUACUCUAAAAUGGUGUUAGAUCAAAAAAAUUGUAUGCAAUUCUCGUUCAUUCAAUCAUUUCAUUCUUAUUAUUUUCAUAUAAUUCUAACCCACAUCUCACAUAUUUUAUUUUAGAAGGAAUUUUCUAUAUCAUAUUUUCUUACAAUUUUUAUCACAAAAAAUUUAAAUGCAUUCAUAUUUUGUCAUCAUUUUCUCAUACUUUCUUCUUUCUCCGUAAAAGUUCUAUAUAAUGUUUCCUUCCGAACACAUACUAAAAAGUUGUUUACACCCUCGAACCAGAGAAUAAGAUACUAACAAGUCUAAACUUAAUCAAAUACUUGCUCUCAUAACUCAAUAGACUUGACUCUUUUAAAAUACUUGGUCAUUUGGUCCAUAACAGAUGUACAUGUUUCUAGGACUUUGAUCAGUUUACAAAGCCCAAGAGACACAAUUCCGAACCUACUCACAGUAUUAAAUUAUGAGACUUGAUGAAUGAUGAUUACAAAUAAAGAAAUAGGUUUGCGGUUUGGGCUUGCCCUUGAGCACACUAGGCAAAAGGUGUGUAAAUAAAUCAAUACCUUCUAGACCUGACCAAAAAAACAAAAAAAAAAAAAAGAAUUCAAUACCUUCUAGCCCAACAAACUAAUGAGCCAUACAGCUACAAGCCUACAAGUCUCAGAACUGACUUGUCAAAAAAAGUGUAUCCUUUAGUUCCAUUCGCUAUUGAACUCCAAGAUCCAUAACCGGCCUAAACACUACCAAACAUAUCAAUAACCAUAUUACCAUCACUGAUGCACUGAUCUUGCUGGAUACAACUAGAGUGAUAAUUUAUACUGAUAAUAACACAAGAUAAUUUCAACAAAGAUGCAAGAAAUUUGAAGUUGUCCAAAUUAACCCACUAGUUGGAUUGCAUUUACCCUGCAAAUAAGUGCAAAAGUUAAACGACAAGACAAUCUACCCUCAUCAUAGGCAUCACAUACUUGCAGAAGUUCAUUAGCAUCAGGGAUCCACAAAGUAAAAGCCUAAUCUUAAACUCCCGGGAGCCCCUGGAAUUUUGUUAGUUUCAGAAUUGCCUAAAAUGUAUAUUUAGGAAUUCCACAACCUAGAAGGAUCAUCCCCCGCGCAUAUGUGCACCUAAUUCCCCAAACUGAUCAUCAGCUUCUACAGUGUCAUCUGACAGGCGAACUGCAUCAAGCUUUUGUUUCAGGAUAUCAAUAGCAUUAAGCACCAACUGCGAAGCUUUGAUUGCACCAGUGGACUCAACAGUGAAGAUAAAGCUGUCUUCUUUUGCAUAUAUUUCUAUGAGUCCUGGUUUUCCCAUAGCUUCUGCUUUCUUAAGCACUUCAUCAUCAUAGGCGUAAGCCUCUGAAUCAACUAUCUUAACCUGAGACCAGAAAAGCAAAUGAUUUUUUUUUUUUUAUUAUAUAGUAGGAGCAAUUUAUAAAUUUUCGGCAACAGUGUCAGCUUGAGUAUUAUGUUUCCAAGAAAAUGAAGUGAACUUCAGAUGACCAAAAGAUAACACGAUAUAUAAAUAAUCUUCACACCCAAAAUUGAUUGAACAUUCUUUAAAACAAAUUUACUAGCUAUAUCACCAUUUGUAUAAGCUCCCAUACAUAUCUACUUAAAUAUUAAGAUGCAGUAUGGCAUGCAAUAAAAAUAACUCUUCGAAGUGUUUGUUGUUAAUUCUUUUUAGGUAACCCACUAACUAUAGAUCAACUUUGGUCACUUCCAUCUUACUGGAGAAGUGCACUAAUUUAUUACUUACCAACUUGAAUAUGAGAAUCCACUAUAGCGUGGAGCAAGUAUAACUCUGCCAAGUGUUUGUUAUAUUUUUUUCCCCUCAAAGAGUUUAGUCACUCCACACUAAUUUCGUAUGACACUAGACCUCACUCUCCCAGCUAUUGAUAUCUCCAGCCUCUUACAUUUCUAAAGCAUCCGUUGUGGGAUACAAAAUGAGAAUAGCAUAACUCCUAUAAACAAGUAAUGACCAUUAGGCUGAUGGCACUGAGUAUAAACCAAAACCAAACAGGUUCUAGUGUUAAGUAACAGUUUAAGAAAAACAUGGUUGUAUUAGGACACAUAAAAACAAAAUAAAGUGUGUUACUGUGGUUAGCAUCAUGACAUUAUCUUCUAGGAUAAACCCAGGGUGUUAAUUACCAUACAGAGAUACAUUUACUUCAAAUCACGGUGUGUGUGAACAGAUCCACCACCCAUAUAACUACAGACAUGACUGGAAAUUAGCUGUCCACCAUUAUUUCAACUAGACACAAAAACGCUGUAGAAAAUAGAAUUGGAAGAAUUUCAAACCUGUUGAGUUUCAUCAUCAAUUUCAAAGACUUUGGUUGGGCUGCUAUCAACAAAACUUUGUUUCUCGGCCAGUGUUAAACUCUCCAUCAUCUCUUGAUUAAUAUGAAUGGCAGGUUCAUACAUAAAAGUGACUGUUGCAGCAGGUGACCACUUUGCAUGAUCUUUCCCAAUUCCUUUUCGGGCAAUUGCCCUCAGCUUCAGUUCUUGUCCACGGCGUAGCUUCACAAUAAUUAUUCCCCUAAAUAAUACAAGUAGUUGCCCAUUCAUACAAGCAUUCUAGUCAAAUUUAUAAUUAUUUAACAUGCACAUUCUCUUUAGAUGAUAAUAACACUCUAACUCAAAACCAAUUACUAUAUAAACAAAUUAAACUUAUAACUAAUACACAGUGUUUUACAUGCAGGAACAAAGCGGGUAACAAGGUAUGAAGAUUCUCACAAACGCAGUAACAAGGUAUAAAGAUUCUUGCAAACAAGCUUCUUGUAGAGACGCACCAUUUAUUAUAUUGUGACGUUGAUGCUUGAGAAACAAAUCAAAAUAUAUAUGCCAACAUACUGAACAAAUAAAAUAAAAAUUUGCAUAUAUACCAUCCAAUCUAUCUACGUCCCUUAUAUACAAGGUAAAAUAUAUAUUGAAUUAUCAAUGACAAUGUGAAGAAGCACAUAAUACAUGUAUUCAUAACCUUCUCCUUUUUUCAUUUUCACAUUCCUCAAAAAUUGACUUACAAAUAAACCUCAAAAGGGCAUUUCCUCUACUUUAUCAACCAACCAACAUUCUUUACCUCUAAAUAACACUUAAAAGGCUCAGUUUGCUAUUCUUUGGAAAUCCCGCAACUGCAAAGUUAAAAAUUUAUGGCCAUCUAGUUGGAAGAAAUAAAACUAGGCGGUAACAACAUAAAUUUAAUUACUAUUUUGUAUGGAAGAAUGCUUGAUUCUUAUCCCCCCGUCCCUUUCCUCCAUAUUUAUACCAGAGAAUAAUGUCAUAAUUUGGGGAUAAAUCCCUCAAAUCCUAUCUCUACUCAUAUUCUUCGCAAGGCUCUCAUAGCAAAAUUUGCAUUAUUUUUUACUCUUCCAUCUUGUAUCCUCUCUUACGCCUUCAACUUAUCCAAUUUAUCCCCUUCCACAGCAUAAAUGUAAUAACAGCCUAAACAUAACCAAAAUAUACACUAAUUUACACCCAAUUUACCCACUAUUUAAACCCUAACCCCAAAAAAUUAGUAACCCCAAAAAAAUAGCUACAUGCAUUUCUUUAAAUUUAACCUAUACACAAAAAAACCACAUUUUUAUACUAGGGAGUAAGAAAUUGACCUAGUCUCGGAGUUCUCAUAGCCCGAAGCAUCCGAAAAAUCGACAGGGACAACCGUGUAAUCAGAGCUAUGCAAAUCCUUACUAGUGACAUCCAAAGUCUGAUCCCCAAGACACUUAGCCCUCAAAUGAAACUCCACAGAGCAAAACUCACACUGCCCAUCCCCAUCACACGCAUCGCAAUCACGAGAGAAACGCAUGCUCAUAGCGCGUUCACUGGUCAGCGGGAUGAGGCCGAGACGGUGGGCGAUGAAUUCGUCGUUGAGAACGGUGGAGUUGAUUUCGAUUUCGACGAGGUCGAUUGCGACGGUGGGGACCUCGGAGAUCAUCACGCGCCGGAGCGCGUUGGCGAUGCUGGCGUCGGUGUUGCGCAGCUCGAACUUGGCGUAGUCGUCUUUGAGCUCGCGGAUUUUGACGGUGGGGAAACGUUGGUAUGAUGCGACUCCGUCCAUCUGUGUGUUUGGCGGUUCAAAUGUGGGUGAGUUUUAGGGUUUAUAAAUUAGGGGUAACUGAGAUGAACAUGAGGAUUGCUAUUUGCUUGUAGUGUUGAGAAGUGACUUUAACAUUAUUGUAUCGUAUGAUUUGGUUUUAUACUUUUAUUUAUCGUAACGUAAUAAUUUUAUUUAAUUAUAUAUUCUAAAUCCGUCCUCAAAAAAUAUUUACCCACCAGAGUAAGAAAAUUUCAGCCCCUUGUUUUUUUUCCUUCCCGAGAUCUGAGAAGAUUUCCAACUUCAAAAUAUUAAUUAUGUCACGGCUGAAGGGAUCCACCUCAGGUAAUACAAGUAAAUUUUUAAAUAGUUAAAUUUAAUCAAAUAAAUAGAAAUUUAGAGUUAUUAUUUAUGUUUUCUAAUUUUUUUAUUAUAAUUUAUUAUUUUAGAGGAAUUUUUUAUGGAGAUCGCUAUUUCAUCGGAGACCUUGGAGACCACAUAUGUUCUCCAAUUAAAAUACUAUAAAUAUAUUUUUUUGUAAAAUAUGUUCUAUAAAUAUCAUGUAUUCAUCAAAAUUUUUGAAGAUCAUCUCUGUUUAAUAAGUAGAUAAUGUAUGUUCUGCAAGUUGAAUAAAUGUUCUGUAAUUUAAACAUAUUUCAUAGAACAAAGCAUUUUGUAAUGUUCCACAUGUAAAAUUUAUAUGAUGUUCAAGAUUUUAAAUGAAAUAAUGAUUUCGUAGAACAUGAGUUGCAAAACUAUAGGUUUUGCAAUGUUUUUAUGAAUUAUUUUAUUUGCAGAACAUACGUGGUCUCCAGGUUUCCGAAAAAAAUGUGAUAUUCAUUGAACUUAACUCUUUUAUUUUAUUCAUAAAAGGUAGAAAGAAUUAUAUUCGUACUUGGUAAGAUAAUAAUUAUCCUGAGAAAUGAAAAUCCCCAAAUUCACAAAAACAUUAUUAUGUUAUAGUAAAUUUAUCAAUUCUCAUCGUAAUGUGAUUUUUAUAGAAAAGACGUUAUCAUCAUGAUAUCAUCUAAAUAGAGUAUUGGUAAUAUCUGUGUGAUUUUAUAAUAAAAUCGAAAUCAAAAUUAAAUAUCUUCAAUAUCAUAUUUAUUGGCUUGAUUAUGGUUCAAAAUUUCUAUUCGAGUAGGUUCUAUUUCAUCAAAAAACCGUAUCACACAAAAAUAUAUAACAAAAAAUCUUACUUGAUUCAUAAGAUAUUAAGCUACUUCAGUGUUUUCAGACUUGAGCUGUCGUUGCUCUUGGGAUAUAUUAGAUCACAAAAAAUCACUCAUUCACUCUAUGAAUAUUUGAAUAUAAGCCGAAUGUGAAUUUCUUUUUUCUGAAAAGGUAACGCUUGGAACUUAGAACCAAGACAAAUGAAGAUUUUUCUUGCUGGUCACUGGCAAGUCCCAGCACAUGUUUUUUUUUUUUAAAAAAAAGCCCAAUACAUGGAGUCAAUUACUAAUCCUGAACUUAUGGGGAAGCAGUGUAGUAGUAUCAGCUGAUGAUAGACCGGAAAUUAUGUUAUGUUGCACAGACACACUAGAAAACUUAAGCAUAUAGUAAACUAUCACUGCAAACAUCCAAGUCAAGAGUAUAGCCAGCAAUCAGCAUCAAAAUUAUCCGCAACCAUAUAUAUAUCCUGCUGCAUCAGCAUGAGUACCAGGACUCCAGGAGGGAGUAGUAACUUACACUUAAACUUGAAUCAUGAGAAGUGAUGUAAUUGAAGCUCGUUUAUAAUUUAUGGACGAGGAAACACAGAAACAAGCAAAGAUCAUUGUAUGCUCAGACAACAGAAGAAAUGAUUUAGUUCCAGAGCCAAAUAUCAUAUUUCGAGAGGAUUCUGGUAAGUGCGAAUAAUAAGUCUCUCUAUUAGAAAACCUCCACAAAUCACCCACCUGCAGGCAGUCUUGUCAAGUCUUGCUAUAUUGAUAGGUCGGAGUGUCGGACUCCCCACUAACAAUCUUGCCUGUUAGUAGGAAGGUCAUGAUCAGUGGCAUCAAUGUGUGGCUAUAUAGGAAACAAUUAUAAAGUUUUUUGAAAAAAAUAAUUAAUUUUAAGUGUUAAUGUGGAGCUUGGAUGCAAUAACUUUUCUAUAUUCAAAAAUUGAUACAUUCAUUUACAGUGAAGAUAGGGGUGGUGUAGUGCCAGUGAUGACAACAAGUAAUGCCAUAGACUAUCUUCAGACAUCAGGUAAAGCAUAUUGGUACCCCUGGUAAACUCAAAGCCAAACAGGUCCGAUCAAUACUCUCUAUGUUAAUCCAGUCUCACCAUAUAAAAAUGGCAAUGAAGAAAGGGCAACAACGCCAAUAGUAUUCUACUAAAUCUUUCUAUUUUUACAAUUCUAAGUAAAAGAGGGUAAAUGUACACUAACACAUUCUCCAGUCUACCAUGAUUCGAUUAUGACUCAUAAGACUUUUAUUCCUAUAACACAGCGGGGAGUUAAAUCUCAGCACAUGUUUUCUCUUUGUUAUUUUCUUUUCUUUUAGAGUUACGAAGCUUUUAAUCCGUGAAAUUCUUUAUGGGACAGUAAUAUGCAGUUAAAGUCACCUUACUAGUAAGAAGCUCAGGGAGAUGCAAUAGACAAUAGUGAUCUCACUUAUAAUGGAAUUCCACUCAUAUACGUGCUGCAUCAUGUGCAAAAACUUCACAAUAACCUCACUGGAUGUAUAGAGAAAAACGCAUGCUUUAUUUGGUGCCUCCAGAGGGUUCGUCACAUAUACCAAUUAGGUAGCAUAACUUUUGUAUCUAUUUUGCUCUAGUACUCUAGUCAUCAUUGAAUUUUUGUCUUAUAAACAAGUGCUUAACGGUUUUUAAUGUUGGUUUUGCCAAGAUUUUUACAACUUACAAGCAUUUAAUCUUUCCUGGUACUUCGACCAAAUCCCUACUUCUCCAUCAGCUUAUGACGGGGUAAUAUACCAGAAAUAAACUUAGUUUUUCUACUAUCAGCAAAUAUAGUACAUCUUUUGUACAUUCAACACAAAUUAAAAGACGAUAACUUUAAAAUUAGGCAGCAAAAAAUAAAAGAGAAGGAUAUAUUCAGUGAAAAUUUCAGAAUAGUUGAAUAUGUUUUUUGUUGUGCAUUACAUAUGUCAGAUUCAUACCUAGGCAGAUAAAAAGUACAAUGAACUUUGAGAAUCAUAGUGACUAGUAUAAGACAAACAGACAACUAGUAAUGCAUUAACAGCUAAGAAUUACUAACAAUUUUCAAAGACACAUCUUCUUAGUCAUGCACAGAUUCUCCUCUUCAUAUUUCCUCUUCCCUAACUUGCUGAUAUCUUCAACUAGUCCCUGUUCUUGAUCAGAAGUCAGCAACUCGGCUAUCCAGUCCAUAUCAAAGCUAGGAUGUUCAUCUCGACAUGAUUAUCAAUAUUAGGGACACCAUUAUCAAUUGCAAACACAUCUAAUGUUAAACACUCGGUGCCCUUACUGUUGACACCAACACAGCUAUUUAUCUCUGACCAGAUAUUCCAUCCAAAUAAACCCCAAGUCCUCUCUUGAGAUUCUCAUUGUUUUGUCCUUUGUUUUCAUCUUCGCCGCAACUUUUAGAAACAUGAUCAGCACCUUGGAACCCAAUUUCAGUAUAGGUUCCUUGUCAGAAUCAAAAGUGAUCUUACAAAGAACAACAUCACCAGAACCAAGAGCAGAUUUGAGACCCUUAUUAAUCCCACAUAACUGAGUACUCAUAUUAUAAUGUAAAUAAAUUAUAAUAUAUCUAAUUUUAUUUUUUAUUUUAUUAUAAAUAAGUGUUAACCAGAAUCGGGGCAAUAAAUAUUAUAUAAAAUAUUAUGUUAUAAAAUUCUACAUACGCUUUUUUUAUCUAUUACAAAUGUGAAAGAUGUGGAACUUGAAGUGUAUCAUAAUUUCUCUUAUUCAGGAAAAAUAUCAUGAAUUAUGUCCAAAAGGAAAAGAAAAUGUCCAAACAGGAUUUAUUUUUUAAACUUUCUUAUUCUAUUUUGAAGACUCUUACCACCUUGUUAACAACUUUUAAAGUCUAGAAACCUUCACCUUACAAAAAAAAAAAAAUCUAGAAACCUUCAAAGACAUUUUAAAAGUUAAAAAUUCCCCCAUCACUACUUAAUCUUAAAAAAAUUCCUACUGCUUACAUUUUAUUAACAAAAUAUUUGUUUUGCUCAGAAACAUUUACUGGUUAUAGUUAAAAUAUAAAUAUAAUAUGAAUAAAAAUAGAUAUAAAUGAAAAUUUUAAGGGUUACUAUUGUUCCCUCCACAAAUUUGGCCUAAAGGGCCGUGGGGCGAUCAUGAUUCAAAUAAAUCUAGAUUCAUAUCCAAAUUCCAGAUCUAUAUGGCUUUAUCUAAAUUACAAAAUAAAAUGGCAGUAAAGAGGAUAAUAGUAAUUUUUGUAAGACAACUACAAACUUGAAACUAUUAAAAAUUAAGAACUUGAAAACAACACUUUAUUAUUAUGUAUUGAAACUUUAUAAAUAUGCACAAGAACACCCCCAUGCCACGUUUGCACAAAAUACACAAUCUUAACAAUGCAGCAUCAGAGUAAACUACACUUUAUUUGAACUUAGGAUGAAAGGAACUAGUUUGGCCCCCAAGGCUUUGAAGAACUGUUAAACAUGGGAGCACCGACUAGAUUUACAUCAGUAAAAAAGGAAUGGAUCCCUUGCCAUCAACCAAUCUCGUCCAGAAGCACUCACAAAAAAAGCAUCAUUUCAUGAGAAUACAUCUUAUAGGAGAUCCCUCAGCACCCACCAAUCGUAGUGGCAAGCAAUGGACAUUAUAUAUUCCAGCUUUCACACCAUCUAAUUUUAGGCCUUCAACUAGAAUGACCUCCUGCAUCAAUUCCAGCAGAGUUAGUGUUUUGGUACAAUGUAUUAUUCUAGCUAAGUCUUUGCAGUUCUAUAUGCAGUUCUAUACUACGACAGCUGACAGAAGCAAGUGAUCACCCAACGAAUGGACGAGCUCAAAGGGGGGAGGAUAGAGAGGGGGGCAAGAACCAUGCUUUCAGAGAAGUGGCGGAUGCCAUCUACUGAACUUAACUGUAUGCAUGAACAUAUAAAAGACAAAAGACCAGAUGCAUUGAAGAUAAUAGCGACUCAUUUGAUCAAGUGAUCAAUAACAAUGGGUCUGUGACAUGCUUAUUAGCCAACACACAGACUAGCUAUAAAACAUAAAGAAGAUUUCAACUUGAUAGUUUAAGAAAGAAGAGAUCGUGACAGGAAGCAUAAGAGAAGCCCCACUUUGAUCAAUAAAGGGAAAAUUCGGUCAAUUAAUCAUCAUAGCUAUCACAAAGUAUGGCCUUUUUCUCUUAUUCUUUACUUUGUUUUAAGGCUUUCAUCAUAGCCAUCACGAAGUAUGGCCUUUUUCUAUUAUUCUUUACUUCGAUCUAUAGUGUACAAUUAGUAAUACACUGAAGCAGAAGAUCAUUAACCCUGUGUAUAUAUUAAGAAAGUUGGAAAUGCAUCCAGGUACACUUUUCAGUGGCCACAGAACCUAAUAACAAAUGAAGCCCUUCAGGGGCUCAUGGACUGAAGUCAUAAAGAGGGUACCAACGUUUUCAUCUUUGUUCAGCAUUUGGAAGUUGUAUAUAUUGUUUCCGUGGUGACUAGCCCAUGACUUAAGAUGAAAAGCCAGGUGAAGCUUUAAAUUAUGAAGGCUUGGAGGCUGGCAUCUCUUAGAGGGAUCAAGGAGUUCAGAAUUUUAAGAUAGUUCAGUGAUAAUGGACUCUAUCAUAUCUUUAAUUGUAAGGCAGCUCACUCUAGUGGAUGCAAUAAAUAUUUUACGUUUUGGUUCCAAAAUUUGAUUCUAGUGGUAUUGUUUUGUUGCAGUCUUGGUUGUUUAGUUAUGGUUAGGACUUGGCUGGUGUUACCCCUGUGCAUCAUGGAGUUUCUGCAUUUUCUUCGCCAUGAUUGGGUCUUCCACCUUUCAUUUCAAUUAUUGUCUCUGUUUAUCAGAACAUAUACACUACGGGAAAAUAGAGAUAUUUGCACACAUGUGAUCUAGAAGCACUGAGUUUAAAGUGACUAUCCUGUAGCAUAGAAAUACAAUCAUUGUUUAUAGGGGCAUGUAUUUUGGCAUUUGCAUAUAUUUAAUUCAAUGCAAUAUACAGGGCCCUGGGAAUUCAAAUGCAUGGGCAAACAGGAGGGCUCAAGGAGCCUCACCACUAGGCAUAUAGAAAUCUAAACAAGAUUAUGUAUGAUUUUCUAGUCCACAAAAGUAAAUACUGCCAGCAAGUAGACCUCUGCCCAUUGACGAUG